CCCUUAGAUGUUCUGGGCGGCCCGCGCACUACAUUGGCACUCUCAAUAAGUUCCUAGAUCUAAAACUUUGGGGUAUUCUAUUAAGUGGUGUCGUGACUGGGAUUAACCCUUGCAAUUAUUGGUUACGAACGAGGAAUUCCUUGUAAUCGCGGUUUAUCAGCCCGCGUUGAAUGCGUCCCUGCCCUUUGUACACACCGCCCGUCGCUCCUACCGAUGAAUCGUCCGGUGAAGUUCAUGGAGUGGUGGUUGUUCCAGCUGCUGUCGAAGUGAAAUGGACCUCACGAUUUAGAGGAAGGAGAAGUCGUAACG
rnacentral:rRNA from 1 species